rnacentral:rRNA from 1 species
AAACGACUCUCGGCAACGGAUAUCUCGGCUCACGCAUCGAUGAAGAACGUAGCAAAAUGCGAUACUUGGUGUGAAUUGCAGAAUCCCGUGAACCAUCGAGUUUUUGAACGCAAGUUGCGCCCGAAGCCUUUGGCUGAGGGCACGUCUGCCUGGGCGUCACGUA